CAGCCGCCGCGGUAAUACCGGCGGCCCGAGUGGCGGUCACUAUUAUUGGGCUUAAAGCGUCCGUAGCCGGGUUGGGAAGUCCUCCGGGAAAUCUGGCCGCUUAACGGUCAGAAUGCCGGAGGAUACUCCCAGCCUAGGGAGCGGGAGAGGCCGAGGGUAUUCCCGGAGUAGGGGUGGAAUCCUAUAAUCCCGGGAGGACCACCUGUGGCGAAGGCGCUCGGCUGGAACGCGUCCGACGGUGAGGGACGAAGGCCAGGGGAGCAAACCGGAUUAGAUACCCGGGUAGUCCUGGCUGUAAACGAUGCGGACUUUGUGUCGGACAAGCUAUGAGCUUGUCCGGUGCCGGAGGGAAACCGUUAAGUCCGCCGCCUGGGGAGUACGGCCGCAAGGCUGAAACUUAAAGGAAUUGGCGGG
rnacentral:rRNA from 1 species